rnacentral:rRNA from 1 species
AUGAACGCUGGCGGCGUGCCUAAUACCUGCAAGUCGCGCGAACAGACGAGGAGCUUGCUCCUCUGACGUUAGCGGCGGACGGGUGAGUAACACAUGGAUAACCUACCUAUAAGCCUGGGAUAACUUCGGGAAACCGGAGCUAAUACCGGAUAAUAUAUUGAACCGCAUGGUUCAAUAGUGAAAGACGGUUUUGCUGUCACUUAUAGAUGGAUCCGCGCCGCAUUAGCUAGUUGGUAAGGUAACGGCUUACCAAGGCAACGAUGCGUAGCCGACCUGAGAGGGUGAUCGGCCACACUGGAACUGAGACACGGUCCAGACUCCUACGGGAGGCAGCAGUAGGGAAUCUUCCGCAAUGGGCGAAAGCCUGACGGAGCAACGCCGCGUGAGUGAUGAAGGUCUUCGGAUCGUAAAACUCUGUUAUUAGGGAAGAACAAAUGUGUAAGUAACUAUGCACGUCUUGACGGUACCUAAUCAGAAAGCCACGGCUAACUACGUG